UAGGGAAUCUUCCGCAAUGGGCGAAAGCCUGACGGAGCAACGCCGCGUGAGUGAUGAAGGUCUUCGGAUCGUAAAACUCUGUUAUUAGGGAAGAACAAAUGUGUAAGUAACUAUGCACGUCUUGACGGUACCUAAUCAGAAAGCCACGGCUAACUACGUGCCAGCAGCCGCGGUAAUACGUAGGUGGCAAGCGUUAUCCGGAAUUAUUGGGCGUAAAGCGCGCGUAGGCGGUUUUUUAAGUCUGAUGUGAAAGCCCACGGCUCAACCGUGGAGGGUCCUUGGAAACUGGAAAACUUGAGUGCAGAAGAGGAAAGUGGAAUUCCAUGUGUAGCGGUGAAAUGCGCAGAGAUAUGAGGGAUCACCAGUGGCGAAGGCGCCUUUCUGGUCUGUAACUGACGCUGAUGUGCGAAAGCGUGGGGAUCAAACAGG
rnacentral:rRNA from 1 species